UGGGGAAUCUUCCGCAAUGGACGAAAGUCUGACGGAGCAACGCCGCGUGAACGAUGACGGCCUUCGGGUUGUAAAGUUCUGUUAUACGGGACGAAUGGCGUAGCGGUCAAUACCCGUUACGAGUGACGGUACCGUAAGAGAAAGCCACGGCUAACUACGUGCCAGCAGCCGCGGUAAUACGUAGGUGGCAAGCGUUGUCCGGAAUUAUUGGGCGUAAAGGGCGCGCAGGCGGCGUCGUAAGUCGGUCUUAAAAGUGCGGGGCUUAACCCCGUGAGGGGACCGAAACUGCGAUGCUAGAGUAUCGGAGAGGAAAGCGGAAUUCCUAGUGUAGCGGUGAAAUGCGUAGAUAUUAGGAGGAACACCAGUGGCGAAAGCGGCUUUCUGGACGACAACUGACGCUGAGGCGCGAAAGCCAGGGGAGCAAACGGGAUUAGAUACCCCGGUAGUCCUGGCCGUAAACGAUGGAUACUAGGUGUAGGAGGUAUCGACCCCUUCUGUGCCGGAGUUAACGCAAUAAGUAUCCCGCCUGGGGAGUACGGCCGCAAGGCUG
rnacentral:rRNA from 1 species